GUCCUCUUGAUAAUAUUAUGAGGUCCGGCCUGCUCACUGACGAGGUUUAUUAAAGAGCCGCGGUAAUUUGACCGUGCAAAGGUAGCAUAAUCAUUAGUCUCUUAAUUAGGGGCUGGAAUGAAUGGCUUGACGAGAAAUCAACUGUCUCUUGAUAAAUUUUUGAAUUUAACUUUUGAGUCAAAAGGCUUAAAUUUUUCUUAAGGACGAGAAGACCCUAUAGAGCUUGACAUUUUAUUUAUAUAUAAUUUUUAGUUAGUCUUUUUAUAUUUAUUGAUGAUGUUUUGUUGGGGUGACAUGAAAAAUAAUUAAACUCUUCAUUAUUAAAUCAUUGAUUUAUGUAUAUAUGAUGAUCCAUAAUUUAUGAUCAUAAGAUUAAGUUACCUUAGGGAUAACAGCGUAAUUAUUUUCGAGAGCUCAUAUCGACAAAUUAGAUUUCGACCUCGAUGUUGGAUUAAGAAAAAUUUUGGGUGCAGGAGCCCAGUGAUUAGGUCUGUUCGACCUUUAAAUUCUU
rnacentral:rRNA from 1 species